ACAUGUCCCGGAACCUACGCGGAGCCAGGAUCCGCGACGGUCCGAGCUGCUGAUCGCCGUCCUGAUCCAUUGACUGGGAAAGAGGUUGGAAACAUCACCGCAAAACAUGCUGCAAACCCCGAUUCGGACUCCGCUGGGGCCGAACCAACGCCCCCGCACAGCCCCGACUCCCUCCCCAGCAGCCAGCUCGCCACCGCCCCUCUCGCGACCAGCCAUUUUCCAGGCCCGCGGGAACGCGCGCCGCGCCCCUCCCACGCCCCUCGUCAAGCCCGCAGGCCCCGCCCCCGGCGCGGGGGCCCUCCCCGCCACACACGCCCCUCUCUUCCUCUCCCGCGGGGGACCCCUCCCCUCUUAACCAUUUUGCCGAAAGAACUGGGCUAGGGCUACAACGCGGGGCGCCCGCGAACUUUCCCGGGGCGAGAGAGCGGAACGGACUGCUCUCCUCCGGGCCGGGGCAGGAGCGCGGAGGAAGGCCCCCUCAGUCCGCCUCCGCGGCCUCUCGCCCCCUCCCCCCGCACGUUCCAAAGCACCCGCACUCCGGGGUGGGGGCGAGUGAGGUGGGGAAGCGCGCCCCGCAGACCAGCGGGAGCCCGGCCGCUCACUCCCUCCGACCCUUGCCCGGCUGCAGUCCCGGGCCGGGGCCGCAGGGUCUGCGGCACGGGGCGGGCCAGCGCCUGAACAAAUGCUUGCUGCUUAAAAUGGCUGAUUCCCCUCAGCGGCAGCUGCAGCCGCUGGGUCUGCAGCGGGGGCUGACAAGCGGCCCCCACCCCCACUCUGGGGACCCCAGAGAAGUACUCGCCCACCGCGGGGCCACGGAGGGCCGCCAACCCGGUCUCCAGUCCUCCCAGUCCCGCUCGGCAGACCCUCGGUGCGCUCGGGGAGACUGUCACGGGAGAAAGGGAAGGUGGCACUCCCCCGGACAGGCUCCCCGCCACCGGCUCCCGAGGCCGGCAGCCCCGCGGCUCCUACCUUGAUAUUUGUUGUCCAGCUCUCGCAGCACAGACACGUUCCUCUGCAUGUCGUGGGGCAGCGACUCCACGCACUCAAGGUAGUCCUGCACGUAGCAGGUGAGCAGCCGGCUCCGCUCCCCGGUCAGGAGCGCGGCCGACGAGUACAGUUGCUGCUGCUGCUGCCCUAACAUCCUGCCGAUCCGCGCCGUCGCCGCCGCCUCCGCAUCCAGCAGCCGCACAUGCACCGGCCGCGGCCGCCGCGGGCCCUCAGCUCAGCAGCCCGGCGCCGCGGGGACCCCGCAGCCGCUCGAGAGGGCACGGCCGCGCUCCCCGAUCUCCACUCCCCCCAGAGCAGCCCUCACUCCCCGCCCCCGCAGCACCAGCCCAGGGGCGGGGCGAAACCGGGGCUCCCUCCUUUCUCCCCUCCCGCUCCAGGACCGGAGCAGUGGGGAUCCCCUCGGCGGGGCCGGCGCCGGGGUCCCGGGCGCUGACACUUCCUGUCCCCCUCGGAGUCCCCAGAUGCUACGAGUGCCGUCUCGCAGCCCGGAUCCCCAUGACAAGCCCGUCGCCGCCCGCCUGUCCCCAGUCACCCUCCGUGCCUCACGGAGAGCCUCCCGCUAGCCUGCCCCCGCCCCUCCGCCCGCGGCCGCCUCUGCGCCUGCGCAGCGCUCCCUGCGAAUAAGGCCGGGGCCCGCCCCUACCGCCUACCGGAGGGUUCGCAUUCUCCCGCCUUCGCUCCGCCGCCCGGGCGAUUGGUCUGCCGGCUCUGGGCUAGCGGGGGAGGGUGUGGGGGGCGGCCAAACGGCAGGCCGCGCCCCGCCCCCCUUAAAGGGGAAGCCCGGGGAGCCAGUCUCUGCGCCUCGCGUCUGAAUGGGACCCGGGAGGGGAGGCGGCUCGGUCCUUCGUGCCGUCCUCCCCGCUGGGAGGGGCAGCUCCAGCUCCGCUCGGCUCGCUCCGCCCGGCCACACCGGCUUUUUCCCCAUCAGGCGGUCCGAGUGCGGCUCCUCGCGAGCCUGCAAAGGAGCAGCAGGCGGUUCCUUUUCGGACGACCUGGAGCGAGGCCUGCGGGACUGCGCGCCCCGGCGGGCGGCGUGCGGCUCCCGGCAUGCGCGGCGGCUGCGUUCCCGCCGCCUCCGAGCUCGCCUGGGGCUGCCGCCCGCCUCCUGCCGGGCCCUCGGGCUCGCCCGGCACCGCGGGGCUUGAUCAGGGAGGUAGGCGGUGCUCCCUCCGGCCCCCGGCGUCGUGUGCCCUGCGGGUUUCGUGGCCCUUCCCCUACGCUGGAAUCUUCUGUGUCAUUUAGGGGGAGGGGAUGCGGGACGGCAUCUGUUUGACAACGCAUUGGUCCCACAGACAGCCUUUAAAAACAACUGCUUUUGGGGGGUGUCAGAACAUUUAAGCACAGGACGUCGGUGAGGCUUCCUGGCGGAGUGGGGCACACGCCAGCUUUACGGGACUUUUUGCUCAGUCCUGCCCCAGGACUGCAAUCGGAGGGGACCUGGGGCAUGGAGGAGACGCGAGUGAAAACCUAGUCAGCGGGCGGGCCCUCGGCCCCAUAAUCUACGUGAUCUCCUAGUGGGGUUUAAUUUCGGUGUAGUGUAAAUGAGAUGUCAGGCAGAGGAGCUGAUUUUAAUUACAGAUGGACAUUUUUGAAAGAAAUGGGUGCAAAUAGAAUGAAUGCAUGGAUAAUUUUAAUGGAAUGCCUAUGUAAACAAGGCCAAUUGUGAGUACUACCUUUGAGUUAAAAUGUGAGUGAGUGGUGACAAAUUUGGAUCUUCUUAGAUCCAGUUUGCAGCGUUGGUACACCUGAAUGGUGACCUAUUUAGAGCACUUUUGAAACAGCUGUUAAUAGUAACUAGCCUUUGACUUGCAAAGAGAAAUCUAGAUCUUUAUCUAGAGGAAAUUUUAAAUUUCAAACCAAAAUAAAGCACUCCAGGCAAUUUGACAUCUUGGGACGUCAACUAUUUCAAAGGACUGGGAAAUUGUCUUGGGUUAUUAUCCUAGGACACUGAGGUUUGGGCCAGUAUUAAGCAACCCAGACAGUACAGUGGAUAGUAUUUCUGAGAACAUUCUGGGAUUUUACUGUUCGUGAAAUCUUUCGGCCGGGUCUUGUCAAAAAACCGCCACUGUGAAGAACUGAAUUUUACUGGUUUUUACUUGAACCCUGCUAUUUUUGUUUUCUCACAAGUUUGAAUAAGCUGGUCUUUAUCAAAGGCGCAAAAUAAUGUGGGGUGCCUUGUUACAGGUCAGACACCGAAUGUACCUAUGGAUUUUAUUCAGUCUGAUAAGUGAUCUGCAAGUAGAUAAGAAAUGUGUUUAGAAACUAGAAGGGGAAAAAGGCAAAGAUGCAGAAUACCUAGAGUACUCCAGAAACAGAGCAAGAUGAGAGGAGGGAUGAGCAUGGGAUAGGAGACAUUUAUAGCAUUAUUGUCACCUUUUAUAAUUCUGUUGAACAGGCUGGUAAAAAAGCAAAAACAAUCCAAAGAAUAUUUUAGCUGGUACUGAUCUAAAACUGUAAAACACUGUAAUAUGAUAAUAUAUGUAUAUGUAUGAAUUAUUUUAGGCAUGCUUUUCUUGCUAUAUUUAUUUUAAGAGAUUAAUCUACGGCUUAUUCUUGCCACCCCCAAAAAAAAUCGCCACAAACCCUAAACCCAACUCUUGACCUUGGUUAUUGAGCGCUGUCCUUCCCUUCUGAGUGGUCACUUAACUGGAAAUAUGGGGCCUCUUCAGAUUGAAUUUCUUGUCUUCUAAAUGCAAAAUUUAAAAUCUCCCGUUCUCAGCAACUAGAAAUUAAUUUAUGGUAUUUAAUCCUGUGAAUAAAGCAAAAAGGCAUUUUAUUUGCUCUACAGUGUAUUAUCUACCAUAAAGCAACCCUAAAAAAAAGAUAAGUAACUGAUCUCCCCAAAUUAGUCUGGGAUUACCUUGAAUUUCUAAGUCUGACUUUAAGAGGUCCCUGGCAGGAAAUGUGUACGCCUCCGUACCUGUCUCUUGGGGAGAGCAACAACUUCAAACUGGUUGAAAACAAACUGGCAAGUAAUGGUGAAAGAUUCCUAAAGAUGCCUGCUGAGAAAAUUCAGCUUCUGUUUGAGUCAGAUCAAAUAAAUGAAAUCCUUUUCUUUUUUCUACUUUUUAAUAUUUUUAAACUUUUAUGGAAAUUUUCAAAGGCAAAAGUAAUACUACAAUAAAUCCUUAUAUACCGUCUACCCAGCUUCAACAUUUAGCAACAUAUGGCUAAGAUUAUUUAAUCUAUAGCCCUUCACAUUCCCUCACUCUUGCUGGAUUUUUAUCAUUUUAUCUGUAAAUACUUUAAAUAUGAAUAAUAUGAAUAGGUAAAAUAUAAUAGUUGUUUUUUGUUUGUUUGUUUUUGAGACUGAGACUUGCUUUUGUCGCCCAGGCUGGAGUGCAAUGGGGCGAUCUUGGCUCUUUGCAACCUCCGCCUCCCAGGUUCAAGCGAUUCUCCUGCUUCAGCCUCCCAAGUAGCUGAGAUUACAGGUAUGUGUCACCAUGCCCAGCUAAUUUUUGUAUUUUUAGUAGAGAGGGGGUUUCACCAUGUUGGUUAAAGCUGGUGUGGAACUCCUGACCUCCAGAGAUCCGCCCGCCUUGGCCUGCCAAAGUGCUGGGAUUACAGACGUGAGCCACCAUGCCUGGCCAAGAUAACAGUUUUUUAAGCAUAUCCGUAAUACCAUGUAUUCUGCCUCCCCAAAUUUUCUUACUAUCAUUUAAUAACUACACAAUUCAAAUUUUCCUAUUGUCUCAGUAAAUCUUUCACAUUUGGUUUAACAGGAUCCAGCAAAUCCCAUGCAUUUUAUUUGGUUACUGAGGUCUUUUCCAAACCAGUAAGAGGCAGUUAAUUCCCUGUUUAAUUCAGUGAAGCAGAGAGCAAUGUUUUUCUGAGGAAGAUAUUUAAGUAGUUUAAAAUCACUGCUUUAAAUAUGGAGAAAUUCAAGAAGAAAUCCUCAUAUGAAAAGUCACCAAUUGAUAGCGUGUUGUAAGAAAUGUAAUUGUACCUGAUGCAAAUAAAUAAAUCCUUAGUAAUCUAGGAGGCUGUGUUAGAGUGUAAUUUGUUCUAGAAGGUCCAGUGAAGCAUCUUAAAUUAUAGUGAAAAACCCUAAAACUUUAAAUCAAUUCAUUAGUACAAAAAGCAACUAAAGAAAAACCUAAUAGUCCUGUAAUCCCAGCACUUUGGGAGGCCGAGGCGGGCGGAUCACGAGGUCAGGAGAUCAAGACCAUCCUGGCUAACACGGUGAAACCCCGUCUCUACUAAAAAUGCAAAAAAUCAGCUGGGCGUAGUGGCGGGCACCUGUAGUCCCAGCUACUGGGGAGGCUGAGGCAGGAGAAUGGCAUGAACCCGGGAGGCGGAGGUUGCAGUGAGCGGAGAUCAUGCCACUGCACUCCAGCCUGGGCGACAAAGCGAGACUCCGUCUCAAAGAAAAAAAAAAAACAAAACCUAAUGGUGUGCGUCUCCACUGAACUCAGUUUUAAAGCAUUAAAGCAUUUUUUAUUACUUUAUUACAUAAGUAAUACACAUUAUUGUAGAAAAAAUUUAAAUAGAAAUAAAAAGAUAUAUAAAAGUCACUACAAACUGGAGAUAACUCUUCUCAAUAUCUAAAUAUACUCCAAGAUGUAAUUCCAUUUUAGCAGUUCUUUUGCUUUAAGAAAACACUUUGGCUAGGAUUGAAGUACAAAGUUAGGCCAGGUGUGGUGGCUCAUGCCUGUAAUCCCAGCACUUUGCCACGAGGUGGGCAGAUCACCUGAGGCCAGGAGUUCGAGACCAGCCUGACCAAUAUGAUGAAACCCCAUCUCUACUAAAAAUACAAAAAUUAGCCGGGCGUGGUGGCAUGUGCCUGUAAUCCCAGAUACUCAGAGGCUGAGACAGGAGAAUCGCUUGAACCCGGAAGGCAGAGAUUGCAGUGAGCCAAGAUGGUGCCAUUGCACUCUCCAGCCUGGGCAGCAAGAGCAAAACUCUGUCUCAUUUAAAAAAAAAAAAAAAAAAAAAAAAGGACAAAGUUAAGAAAAUAUCAGAUUCUGUAGAAGGAAUAUUAGAAAUCUGAGCAAUAUCACCCUGUACUUGGAGUUUAUGUGUUAGACUGCACAGAUUUAACUGGUGUAUACAGUCAAUCCUACUGCUUUAGAUUAUAGUACUAUUCAGCAUUUAGGAUGACUACUAAAAGCAAAAUAUGAUCCUAAAACGUUUUAACGAAGGGACCGUGUGAAUGACUGGGAUUGUAGUGAAGAGGAAAUUCGGUAUAAUAAGAUCUCAUAUUUUCAUAAACAAGAAAAAAGGCAAACGUAAUAUCCCCUUAGCUAUCCCAAAGAGAAAAAAUAGCACAUAUGGUAUACUUUGCAUAUUGCUGACCAGAAAAACAUUCAAUUUUCCCUGGUUAGUUACCAUAGUUACAUGAGCCCUUUAUAACAUCAAGAGGGGGAACUAGGUCACAGUUUUGAAGGAGUUUGAAUUAUGCAAUUAUGUUUUCUAAAAGCAGGGGAAAGGGUUUUUAAUUUAGAGAAGAGAGAUUUAUACUCUGUUCAAAAUUGAAAUUUUGGUCUAAUUUUGCUGGCAAAGCCUAAAAAUUUGUCCAAAAUUUAAUAGUUGAUAUAGUACAUAUAAAUUAUUCAACCUAUACAAAUAACAUAAUAGCUAGAUCCAUAAAAAUGACAUAUUCUGUCUUUGUAGAUAUCCCUUUUUCUCAAUGAGCUGUUAUCCAAAAAUGUUUUUGCAGGUAAUCAGGAAACCCAACAAUUGCCUAGCGUCUGAGAGUAGCCAAACCAUGUGUAAACUAAAGCCUUGAACUCUUCCGGUCUUUGAAAGUGUGAGGUAAAGGUUGGCACAGUGCCUGUCAGAUGCUACUCUUUGUUGUACAGCAAUUUUCCUAUUGAUUUCAUCAAAUGGAAGUGAGUGGCAGGAAGGGAAUGUAUUGAAAGUUGUGGUGGCACAGCCUUCACCCUUUAUAUAUAUUAUUAUUAUAAUUAUUUUUACUAAGAACCUUACAAAAAAGAUGUUUUUAUUUAAAAAAAAAAAAAAAGGCCGGCCUUGUGGCUCACCUGUAACCCCAGACUCUGGGUGGCCAAGGUAGGAGGAUCACUUGAGAACAGGAACGUGAGAACAGCUUAAGUAGCAGAGAGAUCCUGUCUCUGCAAAAAAUUAAAAAAUUAGCCGGGUGCAGUGGUGUGUACCUAUAGUAUCAGCUACUUGGGAGGCUGAGGCAGGAGGAUCCCUUGUGCCCAUGAGUUUGAGGCUGCAGUGAGCUAGGAUCGUACCACUGCACUCCAGCCUGGGCAACAGAGUGAGACCCUGUCUCAAAAAGAAAAUGCAUCUCAAGGUUGCAUGAUUUCAGAUAGUUGUUUUCAAUCUCAUGAUCACUCUAGACUCGUAAUUUUUUAAUGCUGAAGUUAUCUUAGAUCAACGAUUUCUCCAAAGGAAGGAAGAGCAGGCAACAGGCAGCUCAACUGGGUAGCUGGAGGAGCCAGUGUUGCUGAUGGUAGUUUAUCCUAACCAUCAUCUAUGUAAGGAUGGGGAAGAGGAUGGAGAUCACUAUUACAGAUCACCUACAGACCAGCUUUUUUACAGGUGAUAGUAUUGGGACGCAGAGAAGUUAGCUUGCCCAGUGUCAUAUAACAAUCCAUAAAAUAAGUAUAUACCUAAAAGUUUAAGAGUUAAACAAAUAAUUAUCUUUUUUCUGGCUGACAAUUAUUGAGGGGAGAAGCAGGCCCAUGGGAAAAAAUUAAGAACUCGGAUAUCAUAAAAUAUUUUUCUGUGAAGUCUCGCAGCAAAUUUAACAUCUCUGAAGGAAAAUUAGAAUUUCCUGGAGAAUAAUGUUUCAAGUAACCACCCAGUCAAAAGUACUAGAAACUGUGUAUCCUUUAUUCUUAUUUUAAAGGAUCAAUGCCUUAUGCUUUCAGCACUAGCUAAAGAAUAGUCUUUUAAAAAUGAAACUAAUGCUGUCGGCUAGGUGCUUUUUGCUAAAUCUAUUGUUUAUUUGAAGUACUUGAUUAUUUAAUGAGGUCUUAUUGGAGCUAUUGUUACAUUAAUUGCUCUUAGCAUGGUUAAUCCAAUAUUUGAUAGGUAUUGAUUAUCUUUCAUGGGUAACAGAUUUUUUUUUUUUUUUUGAGACGAGUCUCGCUCUGUCACCAGGGUGGAGUGCAGUAGUGUGAUCUCAGCUCACUGCAACCUCUGCCUCCUGGGUUGAAGCAAUACUCCUGCCUCAGCCUCCCAAGUAGCUGGGACUACAGGCGCACGCCACCACACCCAGCUAAUUUUUGCAUUUUUUAGUAGAGAUGGGUUUUCACCAUGUUGGGCAGGUUGGUCUCGAUCUCUUGACCUCAUGAUCUGCCCGCCUCAGCCUCCCAAAGUGCUGGGAUUAUAGGCAUGAGCCACCAUGCCCAGUAAGGGUAACAGAUAUUUAAAAAUUAUUUAUUUCCAUAAAUUGACAUUCUCUGACUGUUUUAUACAUGAAACCAGUAUAUCUCACUUUACACAAUACAUACAUUUCUGGAAAAUUGUAUUUAGAUCUUAUUUUGCUAAAUCAGGUAAUUUUAAAUGUGCCAGUUCUAUAAAAUGAGACCGAAAUUUUGAAAAUGAAAAUAUUCAUUUAAUACAAAUAAUUUAUCUUAUUUUAUUUAUUUUUCUCUGUUGUUACCUUGAGAAAACAUAGGUAGUGUUCAUUAACUGCAGUCUAGAUGUACUUUCAUUUUCUUGUUCUAACUAUACUGUAUAUUGCAGAUAUUUUAGUACAACAUCUUUUCAUCACAGAAAUGAUAUCUUCAGGGAAAAGACUUCGAAAAAGUGCCUGAAGUGACACAACACAUGUUUUCUUCUGGUAUCUGGCUAAAGAAUGAAAUCUGGCAGAAAUAUUUAAUGAAGAGGAAUCUGAACAUAGCAGUUGAGAAAGAAAGAUUGGGAGAAGACUCCAGAUGUCGUAAAGCAAAGAGAGGAUGAGGCACAGGAAGCAGCUCUUAUUAUUUCUGUUGCACUUUGGCUCAGAGAACUCCAAGCAAUUGAUUCUAUCCUGAGGACAUAUUUUUUCAAUUUGAGAUAUAAUUAAUUUGUUUUCCAGUAAAAUAGAUAUUAGUAGAUCUAUGACAUACAGGAAACAAUCGAAAAUAGAGAUAAGUGGUAAUAAUACCUCAUUACUUAAGACAUCUUUUUCAGAAAAUUAUUCUUCAGUGUGUGGUGCAUUGGCUUUCUAGGAAAGAACGGGAGGGAGAACCCUGCUGACAUGAAUAAUGGCCUGGGGGAGAGGGGGAGAGAAGCAAGAGAAAGGAGCAGUUAAGAGGAAAAUGAUGUCAUAUGGAAAGAAGGAAAUAGAUCAGGGCGUCUUUAAGAGCUAAUAUCAAUUGGGUUUAGUGUCUGUAUUUAGAGGAUGGGAGAGAAGAGGUAUCAUCUAGGGUUUUGGCUUGGGCCACAGGUAGAUCUUGUUAAGGCUGUACGAAAUAGAAAAUCCAGGAGGUAACGCAGGUGUGUGGGGGAAAUGAUACAAAUGUAAAUCAUACAAGGAUAUGAACCCUGUAGAUUUUACAACUUUGAGCUCUAUCCUUCUUAGGCCUUCUCUUCUAAGCAGCAUAAACUACUGCUGCCUACAUGUUGCCUGUUCAUAAAGGCUGAGGCAGGGGAGUCGCUUGAACUCGGGAGGCGGAGGUUGCAGUGAGCCGAGAUCAUGCCAUUUCCCUCCAGCCUGGCGACAGAGCAAGACUCCAUCUCAAAAAAAAGAAAAGAGAAGAAAAAAACAAAGAACUUUAUGCACCUUCUGGAAUAACAAAAUGCAAAUGUAAUGUUAUCUACCAGGAUAGAAAUUGGAGGCUAGAAUAUGUUGGGUAGGGUAGAGAGACUAGAGGGAAUGAUUUAGCAAUAAAAUAGGUUUAAAUAUCUUCUCACGUGCCCAGACUUAAUUAGCUUUGUAUUAUUCCUAUUAGUAAGCCAGGAAUUAGUACUAGGUGAUAAGCAAGGAUGUGCAGGGCCUUGUGAGGAAAAGAGUUACUGUAGCAGUUCUGGAUGCUUACCCCUUGCAUGUCUCCAGGGGAACCAUCUUUGACCUUGGCCAACCCCUGGAUUGCAAUCCUUGGAGUGUUCUUUAUGUUAGUGAUGAUGAUUUUGUUGUAUACACCUGGAGCAUUGGACCAUUCCAUACUGGCUCGCCAGGUUGCGUUGCACAAACACCAAGACUGAUAAAUAGGCACCUGGUUUUAUUAUUGGGCCCCUGAGUUUUGGUUGCCGUAGCCAAUUCCAUAGCAGAGUAUGAGUACAUGAACAGCCUCCCACAAAAGCCUUAAACCCUGAGACUCAAGUGGGAUUCUGUGGGCAGAGACAUUCCACACGUGUCUAUAGUUUGCUGAGAGAGAGACAGAAUUCCUGUGUAGCUGCAGACAAAGGACAACAGAAUCCUAUGUUGGACCUCUCUGGACUCCACUGAUACAUCUUUUCCUGUUGCUUUUGCCCUGUAUCCUUUGCUGUCAUUAAUCUGAGCCACGUAUUAAUAUAUAACCUGCUAUUGAGUCUUGUGAGGCCUUCUGGGAUCACCAAAGGAAACAACCAUAUACCUAGUACUGAAGAGAUUUUUUUAAAAGCCCAAUUUGUCCAUCUGAGUCUUGAUAGGAUUCACUGAAAAAGAAUAAUCAACAUAUGUGAGUAUCUGCAGUGUCGAGGUUUAAAUGAAAUCAAGGCUUUGGUCUUUGUCCAUGAGACAUUUAUAGUCUUUAUAGGGACAUGACACAUGUUAGGGAAAUGCUUAUAAGCAUAAGUAUAAAUAAAAGCAAAUUGGCAAUGAUGGCAGAAUUAAAGAGAGAUUAAAAUUGGUAAAAAUCAAGCAAGGCUAAUGAAAGAUGGUAGGUAUUUAAGAAGAGAUAUAGGACUGCAUUAUCAAAUGAUAGCCAUAAUUUUCCCCCAUAUGUACUUUAGCAGUAUGUAAAAACUGUAAAACAAAAAACUUUUUUCUUGGAUUUUAUCUGAUAUAUUCCAGGCUCAACUCAAGUUUGAUGAAUUAUUUGUACGGAAUCUAAAUUUGUACUAAAUCAAAAUUUAAGUGUUUUAUGCAACAAUUUUUUAUGAGCCCUCCAGUUACGGAUUUCAGCUGUGGGAUAAUGUUCUCAUGUGUUAUUAUCCCAGAGACUCCAUGCCAAGUCCUGUUAUAAUUAGUCACACCUGAUAAUUCCUUCAGUUGUGUGGUUAAGCUGCUCGUGUCCAAAGCAGUUUACCUGAACUACACAUGUGCAGGGCAGACUCUAAGCAGCCAAGAUUAAGAAGGAACUUUGAAGGUUCUGCUUCCUGUAAUGGCCAGAUAGCUCCUGUCAGAUCAGUGUUCCUGCAAAUAACAGCUAUACAUUCUGAACAGAAUUUAAAAAUCUACCAAAAGGCACUGGAGAGCAAGAAAAAGAAGGCAAAUUCUGGAUGGGAGUCCACACUUGGAAGAAGGAAAUAGCAGUUCAUGAGUUUCAUCAUAUAAGAAUGUCAUUUAGCCUGGGGGCAGGCCCUCAUCAGUACCAUGUGGAAUGACUAUAACUUUCAAACUUGCAGACUUACUGGCUUGAAGAGCCAGAGGUUGGAGUCCAGGACAACCACAGGUGGUGUAUGGUCUAAAGUUAAUACCAUGUAUUGCCUUGAUAUCUGGUAAAAUCAGGAGGCCCUUGAAUGGCCUAACUACAAGUUCCUGUCCACACUCCACUCCUUAGCUCAAGGAUCAGGCACAUUUCCUGCUUAUUCCUGAGUCACAGGUUUUAGUUCCCUGACAGCUUAUGGAAUUAUUCAUCCACACCAGUCACGUCCUCCCUCAGGAACCAGGAGCGACCUCAUCCUCUUGAUACUACAAAGCCUGCACCCGUGGUUGUUCUCUAUUUCCAAGUGCAGGCCCCACCUGGCCCCGUGUGGAGUGGGUGUUCUCUGCUAGGCUGUGAGUAUAUGUGACUAGUACACUGCUGUCAGUCUCAUCUGUGUAGUGUCUUGUGUUGUGUUUAGCUUAUUCCCAUAGCCUUACAGUAGAAAUCCCUCCCUCACCAAAGAGGCGAGGAGGAGGGAUGCAAACGCACAGCAAUGGGAAGUAGAGGAGAAAUCACAGAAAAGAGAGAUUCACAAAGGAGGAGCCUUAAAGACUAUAUAGAAAAUGCCCAAAUUUCUUGCCGAACCUAAACUACACAUGUGCACAGCAGACUCCAAGCAGCCCAUAUAAGCCUUAAAUAACUGAACUGAGAAGUUUGAGUUCAUCCAAGUGUCCAGGUUAGAAUCUAAAAUUACUAGGCAUACGAAAAAAUAAGAAAAUGUGACUCAAAGUCGAUCAGUUAUCCCAGGAUGAACCAGAUGUUGGAAUUAGAGACAAAAAUUUUAGAGCAGCUGUCAAAACUAUGCCCAAGGAUUUAGAGGAAAAUAUACUCAUAAUGAAUGAAAAGAUAGGAAAUCACAGAAGAGAAAAACCAUAAAAAAGAACCAAAGGUUAAUGCUAACAUUGAAAAUAUAAUAUUUAAAAUGAAAUUUUUGCUGGAUAGCCUUAAGAUCAGAAUAGAGGCCAGGUGUGGUGGCUCACAUCUGUAAUCCCAGCACUUUGGGAGGUGGAGGCAGGUCGAUCACCUGAGGUUGGGAGUUUGAGACAAGCCUUACCAACAUGGAGAAACCCGGUCUCUACUAAAAAUACAAAAUUAGCUGGAUGUGGUGGCGCAUACCUAUAAUCCCAGCCACUCAGGAGGCUGAGGCAGGAGAAUCGCUUGAGCCCAGGAGGUGGAGGUUGCAGUGAGCAGAGAUCACUCCAUUGCACUCAAGCCUGGGCAACAAGAGGAAACUCUGUCUCAAAAGAAAAAAAAGAUCAGAAUAGAAAUAACGUAAGAAAGUAUCUGUGAAUUUGAAGGUAAAGCAAUAGAAAUUAAUUCAAUCUGAAGAUCAGAGAGAAAAAUAAAAUAAGGAAUGGUGCCUAAGAGACAGGACAAUACAAAAAGAUCUAACGUGUAUAGGGUUCCAGAAAGGAAAGAGAAAAUGGAUGCCCAUUAUUUGCUGCUGCCAUGGCACGGGGGUACCCCUGUCCCCAAAUUGCGCCCAAAAGGCAACAUAGAGGAGACUGAGGAGGGGGUGGAAUAGGAGCCACAAGGAGCUAAAUGAGACCCAUCAUGACAAUGGCGCCAAAUGGAGAUGCUCCCAAAGAACUCUGGUCUGUAGCUGGAUCCAUUUCUGAUCUCUCCCUCUUCAUGGCUCAAAAGAUAUACGGGUUUUCCAGAACAGCCUUGUGGAUUGCAACCACUUUCUUUAUACUCCUGGCUGUUCUGUUGUCUUGGAGACUAAGUCACAAGUGGAACAACAGCAGCAACUAGAAGCAGCAGUGGAUACUUUCUAGGGCCUACCACGGGGCCUACCACAGGCUCUCCCUUCACUCCUGGAGAGAUCUAGAUUGUUACUGCCAUAUAUGAGCCAUCCUGGUGGGAGAAGUUUGAAAUUCAAGUCUCUAGACUGCUGAUUAUUUGGACUUUUUUUCUUUUUUUGAGACGGAGUCUCGCUCUGUCGCCCAGGCUGGAGUGCAGUGGCGCAAUCUCGGCUCACUGCAAGCUCCGCCUCCCAGGUUCACGCCAUUCUCCUGCCUCAGCCUCCCGAGUAGCUGAAACUACAGGCGCCCGCCACCACGCCCGGCUAAUUUUUUUGUAUUUUUAGUAGAGAUGGGGUUUCACCGUGUUAGCCAGGAUGGUCUCGAUCUCCUGACCUCGUGAUCCGCCCGCCUCGGCCUCCCAAAGUGCUGGGAUUACAAGCAUGAGCCACCAUGCCCGGCCGGAUUUUUUUUCUUUACUUUGGCACAUUGAUCUAUCUAAAGCAGGUCAGAAGAAUCCUCCUCACAGCGUUUCACAGAGAGACUCCCAACUUUCAACUGUGCCCUCCAUGCUUUUCUGCCCCAUUUUUUCUCUCCUCACUCAGAUACCACAGUACAUCAGUGCAGAGGGCUACUCCAUCUCUAGCCACCCUACCCCUUUGACUAGAUUUUUCCUAACUGGUUGAUCUCCUCGCUAUCCCAUCGUAGGGCAGGAACUGAUGCUAGUGGAGGGAUGUAUCCUUGACCAUCAAUCAGAAUGAGGAAGGAUGUGCACAUGGCAUGAAGCAGACAAAAUGCAUUACAGCUGUAGUGUAAAGUGGAUGCUGUGGAUUUCUAUGCAUGUUGUAAAGGAGGAAGGCCAGCAGCAAAUUCAGCCACAGAAUGGGAACCUUGGAGGACAGAGUAGGAGAUCAUUUCCUCUGUGCAUUUUGGCUGUUAGACUUGUACGUAUGUUUUAUUUGUUUUUUGAGACAGAGUCUCGCUCCCUCGCCCAGGCUGGAGUACAGUGGCGCAAUCUCGGCUCACUGCAACCUCCACCUCCCAGGUUCAAGCAGUUCUCCUGCCUCAGACUCCCAAGUAACUGGGAUUACAGGCACCCACCACCAUGCUCAGCUAAUUUUUUGUAUUUUUAGUAGAGAUGGGGUUUUGCCAUGUUGGCCAGGCUGGCCUCAAACUCCUGGCCUCAGGUGAUUCACCCACCUCUGCCUCCCAAAGUGCUCGGAUUACAGGUGUGAGCCACCAUGCCCGGCCUGUGUGUAUGUUUUUAAAAAGCCAGUGCUCACUUUUUGUAUUUAAAUUUCAAAAAUGAGGCUGGGUACAGUGGCGUGCACCUGUAGUCCCAGCUACUCAGGAGGCUGAGGUGGGAGGAUCACUUGAGCCCAGGAGUUUGAGACCAGCCUGGACAACAUAGCAAGACUUCCAUCUCAGAAACAAAAACAAAAAACAAACAAAAACAAAACAGAGCCAAACCAUUGAAAAGGAAAAAAUAAAAAGAAUAUCUUUAGAGUAACCAAAGGAAAAUGACAUUUUAUGAGGGGAACAAAGAUUUGAAAUGCCAUUGACUACUCAUCAGAAUCAAGUGAAAUGACAUAUUUAAAGUUCUGAAAAAAAAAAUCAACCCUUUAUCUGGAAAUAAUCAUACAGAUGAAAUGAAAAUAUCAUGCAAUAAUGAGGGCAAAUUAAAUACAUUUUUACUUAAAACGUAGAAUCUGUCACUAGCAGACCUGUGCUACAAGAAAUGCUAAAUGAAGUUCUUUAGACAGAAGGGAAAUAAUACCAGAUGGAAACCUGAAUGUUCAGGAAGGAAGGAAGAGGCUCAGAAAGGUAAAUAUGUGGGUAAGUAUAAAAGACUCCUUUUCCUCAUAAUUUCUUUAAAAUACGGGACUGUUCAAAGCAAAAAUUAUAACAAACCCUGUAAUGAAAUUUAUAACAUGGAAAUGUGAUGCAUUUGACAGCUAUAGCUUAAAGUACAGGUAGAGUGCAAGGGGCUUGUAUUUUUAUGUCAUGUGGCACAAUAUUAACUUUAAAAACACUAUGAAAAGUUAAGGUUGGUUAUUGUCAUCCCUUGGGCAACCACAAAAAAGCAACUCAAAGAGGUUUUCCUAAAUUCGUCCAUAGCAAUAAUUACAUUACAUUUGAAUAAACUAAAAACUCCAAUUAAAAUGCAAGGAUUGUCAGAAUGCAUUAAAAAGUAAGGCAAUUAUAUGCUGUCUAUCGAUGAUAUUUAAAUAUAAAAACAGAUAGGUUGAGAGUAAAUGGAUGGAAAACGAUAGGCACAAAAUAUAAGCAUAAGAAGGUUGGAGUGGCUAUUUAUCACAUAAUGUAGAUUUCCAGACAAAGAGAAUUAUCAGGGAAAAAAGGGACUUAUUUUUUUUGAGAUAGAGUCUCGCUCUGUCGCCAAGGCUGGAGUGCAGUGGUGUGAUCUCAGCUCGCUGCAGCCUCUGCCUCCCGGGUUCUAGCAAUUCUCCUGCCUCAGCCACCUGAGUAGCUGGGAUUACAGGCAUCUGCCACCAUAUCCGGCUGAUUUUUGUGUUUUUAGUAGAGACAGGGUUUCGCCAUGAUGGCCAGGCUGGUUGUGAAUUCCUGACCUCAGGUGAUCUGCCCACCUCCGUCUCCCAAAGUGCUGGGAUUACAGGCAUGAGCCACCGUGCCCAGUCUGGACAUUUCAUAAUAAAACAGUCACUACAUUAGAAAGAUAAUUGUAAGUGGGUAUGUACUUAACAGCACUUCAAAAUACUUGAAGCAAAAUUUGACAGAAUUAAACAUCUCUUCUUCAGGAAGUGAUAGAACAUGUUUAAAAAAUCAGUAAGGACAUAAGAGCUGAACAAAACCAUCAGUCACCUUGACCUAACUCACCUAACUGCACUCAACACCUGCAGAAGAAUGAACUAUAAUUUUUUUUUUUUGAGAUGAGUCUUGCUCUGUUGUCCAGGCUGGAGUGCAGUGGCAUGAUCUCAGCUCACUGCAAGCUUCGCCUCCUGGAUUCAUGCAUUCUCCUGCCUCAGCCUCCCAAGUAGCUGGUACUGCAGGUGCCUGCCACCACACCUGGCUAAUUUUGUUUAUUUAUUUAUUUAUUUAUUUAUUUUGUAUUUUUAGUAGAGACGGGGUUUCACCGUGUUAGCCAGGAUGGUCUCGAUCUCCUGACCUCGUGAUCCGCCUGCCUCAGCCUCUCAAAGUGCUGGGAUUACAGGCGUGAGCCACCGCGCCCAGCCAAAAAUGUUUAUGGUGAAUUUGAAAUAGGAUGUCCUUUUUUGAUAAUUGAAUCAUUUUUAUGUGCAAAGUUAGAUUUCCAUUUUUUUUUUUUUUGCUGGUUAAAAUAAUGUAACAUACAUUAAAAAUUUUACAUAUUCGAGUUUCUUUGUAAUGUGAUAAAUAACACUUGUCCUGAAACGAUGAACAUUUCUCUCUGAGGGAAGUACUGAGUUUAUUCUAAAGAGCAAAUAAAGGCUGGCUUAUAGCCAACUGUCAUUCCUUAGUAUCUUUAAAUUCCCCAGAAUCUUCUAAUAUACACAUUCCACCUCCUACGUUGUUUGAAAGUAACUGACCAAGACACAUUUUUUUCUUAAAUAGCACGUUUCCCUUUAAAGUUUUGUGUGAAUUGAGUUUUAUAAAUCCAUUUAAGAAAAUGAUUAGGAGAGCUAAAGAAGAGUUUUAAUAAAUCUUUAGGUUUUUGUUUAUAACACUACAUUUCACUGAGUAUUUUUGAUUUGUUCUUUACACUGACACUGAGGUAGGCGGCUUUUCACAGAUGAAGAAAUAGGCUUACAGAGGCCAGAUUCUAACAUGGAGGUCAGAUAGCUACUGAAUAGUGGAGCCAGGUCUUCUGGUUUCCAAUAAAAGUCCUUCCAUUAUCCUGUACAAAUUAAAAAAAUCUUUUUUUUUUUUUUUUUUUUCUUUUUUUUUUUUUUUUUUUUUGAGGCAGGUUCUCACUCUGUCGCCCAGGCUGGAGUGCAGUGGUCUGAUCACAGCUCACUGCAGCCUCGACCUCCCAGGCUCAAACCAUCUUCCUGCCUCAGCCUCCUGGGUAGCUGGGACCACAGAUGUGUGCCACCACACUAGAUUAACCUCUAUUUUUGAUACAGAUGAUGUCCCCCUAUGUUGCCCAGGCUGGUCUCAAACUCCUGGGUUCAAGUGAUCUUCCUGCCUCGGCCUCCCAGAUUGCUGGGAUUACAGGCAUGAACCACUGUCCGUGGCCUAAAAGGAUCUUUUAUUUUUAUAUUUUUAUUUUUAAUUUUUUUGAGAUGGAGUUUCACUCUUGUCAUCCAGGCUGGAGUGCAAUGGCAUGAUCACGGCUCACUGCAACCUCUGCCUCCCAGGUUCAAGUGAUUCUCCUGCCUCAUCCUUCCAAGUAGCUGGAAUUACAGGCACCCAUCACCAAGCCCAGCUAACUUUUGUAUUUUUAGUAGGGAUGGGGUUUCACCACAUUGGCCAGGCUGGUUUUGAACUCCUGACCUCAGGUGAUCCACCCGUCUCGACUUCCCAAAAUGCUAGAAUUACAGACAUGAGCCACCCCGCCCGGCCAAUUUUUUUUUUUUUUUUUUAAAUAAAGAUGAAGUCUCACUGUGUUGCCCAAGCUGGUCUCAAACUCCUGGGCUCAAGCGAUGCUUCUGCUCUGGCCUCCCACAGUGCUGGGAUUACAGGUGUGAGCCACCAUGCCCAGCCAAAACCAAUUGUUAAACAAGAAAAAUAUUUUUAAAACAUCAGAGUGGAAAAGAUUCUUAAACAAGAUCCUCAAUUCAUAAAUGAAUAAGAGUACACCAAAAUUAAAUAGUUUUGUUCAAAGAAAGAUAGAAUAGACCAUGUUAACACAUGGGUAACAGACUGGAAAGAAAUACAACAUAUAAAAGCAAUAAAGGGAUAAAUAGCUACAAAGAACUUCUGCAGGCCGAGCACAGUGGCUCACGCCUGUAAUCCCAACACUUUGAGAGGCCGAGGCAGGUGGAUCACCUGAGGUCAGGAGUUUGAGAGCAGCCUGGCCAACAUGGUGAAACCCCAUUCUACUAAAAAUACAAAAAUUAGCCCUGCAUGGUGGCGGGCACCUGUAAUCCCAGCUACUCAGGAGGCUGAUGCAUGAGAAUCGCUUGAACCAGGGAGGCGGAGGUUGCAGUGAACCGAGAUCGCGCCGCUGCACUCCAGCCUGGGCAACAGAGUGAGACUGUCUCAAAAAAAAAACUUCUGAUAAUCAGCAAGAUAAAACAGGAAACCCUAAAGGAAAAUAGUCAAAGGCUAUGAGUAGGAAUUUUCUUAAAGAGAUUCUCAAUCUCACCAGAAGAUCACUUGAGGUCAGGAGUUUGAGACCAGCCUGGAACAUGGUGAAACGCUGUCUACUAAAAAUACAAAAAUUAGCUGGGUGGGGUGGUGGGUGUCUGUAAUCCUAGCUACUCCCGACGCUGAUUCAUGAGAAUGCUUGAGCCUGGGAGGCAGAGGUUGCAGUGAGUCAAGAUGGCACCAUCACACUCCAGCCUGGGUGACAGAGCAAGACUCCCUCUCAAAACAAAUGUAAAUAAAUACAUAUAUAUACUGUUUUUAUCUUUCACACUUCUAACCUAAUUAAGGUUUAUUUUUUAUAAGUUGUAUAUAGUAGAGACAUAAUUUAUUUUCUCUUCCAUGAAGCAAGCCAUUUUUCCAUUUUCACUAAAUGACCAUUUCCCCUAGGAUUUGUCAUGCCACCCCCAGGUGAUUCAGCUAUCGUGCAUACUCCAUUCUUUUUUUUUUUUUUUUCCAAACAGAGUCUUGCUCUGUCACCCAAGCUGGAGUGCAGUGGCAUGAUCUCGGCUCACUGCAAUCUCCGCCUCCCAGGUUUAAGCAAUUUUCAUGCCUCAGCUUCCCAAGCAGCUGGGACUACGGGCACGUGCCACCACGCCCGGCUAAUUUUUGUAUUUUUAGGAGAGACAGGGUUUCACCAUGUUGGCAAGGCUGGUCUCGAACUCCUGACCUCAAGUGAUCCUCCUGCCUUGGCCUCCCAAAGUGCUGGGAUUAUAGGUGUGAGCCACUGCUCCUAGCCCACAUUCCGUUCUGUACCAUUCCUGGCUCUGUGCCUUGACUCUCUCCAUUCCCUUGCUCUUUCUCUAUGCCCACUACCCAAAAUACAGAAAUUUAAAAUUUUGUUGGCUGGAUACUGUGUCUUUAUAUUGAUAGGCAAUUCUUUUCUCUUUUCUUUUUCAAUUAUUUAUAUAAUUCUUAUACAUAUAAUAAUAUAGAUAAUUCUUUUUCGAUUAUAUUAGCUAGUGUGUAGAGGUUUAUUUAUUCAUUUAUUUGUCAAAUUGUUGCAAAAAAAUCUUGAUAGGAUCUUUAUUAGUAUUGCACCACAUUUAUAGAUUAACUUUGGAGGACUGAACAAUUCUACAAUGACAAAUUGUCCCAACCAAGAGCAUGAUAUUAAUAUCCAUUUAUGCAGAAGUUAUCUUCUCCUUAUUUAUAUAUUUUUCUCUUUAAUUUAUUUGAAUUUUUUUGAAGUAGUACGUGCGCAUAGUACAUGCAAACAGUAAAAAGGGAUAUCAAUAAAAUAAAUAUAGUUCUGCCCCUGACCUCAGCCCCCGCAGCUUCUCUUCCCAGAGGAAGAGCCAGUUUCUUCCCAAAAGAAGCCAGAGAUUUGCUGCGCAUAUGCAGGCGUUUAUGGAUGUUAUAGGAUGUUAGUUGGGACCCUUCCUGUCAAAAUUUCAGUAGAGGCAAUGAGUCUGUGUAUGUUAUUUCCAAAUAAACCAUCAUGCAAAAACCUUAGCAUAGGUGCAUGCGUCUUUUUUUUAUUUUUUAUUUUGAAACAGAGUCUUGCUGUGUCACCCAGGCUGGAGUGCAGUGGUGCGAUCUCGGCUCACUGCAACCUCCACCUCCUGGGUUCAAGUGAUUCUCCUGCCUCAGCCUCCCACGUAGUUGGGCUUACAGGCCUGUGCCACCUUGCCCAGCUAGUUUUUGUAUUUUUUUAAAAGAAGUCAUAAACAGCAUUUAUUACCUUGGUAUAUCAUACUGGUCUUCUUGCUGUUCCUUCACAUUUAAGUGGCUUUCCAUCUUUCCUGCCUCCUCCCACAGCCUGGUUACACAGUGCAUGCCUGAACUGUUAGCCCUCAGCAGCAAUAUGCUUAUUCCAUCCACAUCCCUAACCUCAUGCAUUCACAAGGUGAAAGUUCUGGUCCACAAACCCUUCCCUACAGGAAGUUCAAUGGUUGCGAAAGAAUCUGUAGUAAACCAGGCCUCCCAGGACGGCGAGCUCCAGUAAGAUGAUGAUGGAAAACAGCAGCUUGUUGGUUGUCACUUUUCUGGACAUUGAACGGAGAAUCUUUCGACUUUUGCUCAAGUUUUCAGUUGUGUUUAUCAGUCUACUCUUGGUGCGUUCUAAAUGGUCUCGUUGUUCCCCCAGCUCUUCUAUGGUUUCUGAGCCAAUCUGGUCAGUCUCCGUGGCAAUCUGAUGAGAACGUUCAAUACUUUGGGUGGCCCGGUUCAGGUUUUCAGGACCUUGCAGAAGCAUUGCCCUUUGAGACUGUAGCCGAUUCAUAUGCUCAUUCUCUACAGCAUAUAUGUCAUAUUUCAUGUCUCCUCGCCCUCCUGGUGUGGCUGUCAAAGGCGUGCUUCUCACCUCCCGAUGGAGUUUGGCAAGGUCCUUCCGGUAGUUUCGAAGCUUAGACGUCAUGGUGUUAUGGAAAGACAGGGGUGCAUAACGUAGCUCCUCCUCCAUCCCUGCCAGCAUUUCAUUUGCUUCCUGUUGCUUUUCAUCAAAAUCCCUGAUCGACUUAUUCUCUUCGGUCCCCGCCGUCCCCAGCAGCUGCUCGGGCACCCCUUGUAGGUCUUCGUGGAGGCCGCGGAAGAUUUCGUGCAGCUUCUUGAAACGCUCGGAGGAGGCGGCGGAGGUGGCCAUGGCGCAGGCCGCGCUCCAGCAGCGGCCACCAAGAUUCGGGGCGCUGGGCCCUCUCCUAGCCCAGCGGUCAGCCGCCCAGCCCCGUGGCUAUCACAGCGACCGCCGCGCCACCGCUGCCCAGGACGAGGCUCUUCUGGGGCGCUAUUUUUUUGUAUUUUUAGUAGAGACGGGGUUUCACCAUGUUGGUCAGGCUGGUCUCGAACUCCUGACCUCAAGUUAUCUGCGUACUCCGGCCUCCUAAAAUGCUAGGAUUACAGGCAUUGAGAGGUGACAGCGUGCUGGCAAGUCCUCACAAUCCUCGCUUGCUCUCGGCGCCUCCUCUGCCUGGGCUCCCACUUUGGCGGCACUUGAGGAGCCCUUCAGCCCACCACUGCACUGUGGGAGCCCCUUUCUGGGCUGGCCAAGGCCGGAGCCCGCUCCCUCAGCUUGCAGGGAGGUGUGGAGGGAGAGGCCCGAGCGGGAACCGGGGCUGCGCGCCGCGCUUGCGGGCCAGCUGGAGUUCCGGGUGGGCGUGGGCUUGGCCCUGCCGGCCCCGGGCAAUGAGGGGCUUAGCACCCGGGCCAGCGGCUGCGGAGGGUGUACUGGGUCCCCCAGCAGUGCCAGCCCACCGGCGCUGCGCUCGAUUUCUCACCGAGUCUUAGCUGCCUUCCUGCGGGGCAGGGCUCGGGACCUGCAGCCCGCCAUGCCUGAGCCUCCCACCCCCUCCAUGGGCUCCUGUGCAGCCCGAGCCUCCCUGACGAGCUCCACCCCCUGCUCCAGGGCACCCAGUCCCAUCGACCACCCAAGGGCUGAGGAGUGCUGCAGGCGCACGGACCCGGGACUGACAGGCAGCUCCACCUGCAGCCCCGGUGGGGGAUCCACUGGGUGAAGCCAGCUGGGCUCCUGAGUCUGGUGGGGACUGGAGAAUCUUUAUGUCUAGCUCAGGGAUUGUAAAUACACCAAUCGGCACUCUGUAUCUAGCUCAAGGUUUGUAAACACACCAAUCGGCACCCUGUGUCUAGCUCAGGGUUUGUGAGUGCACCAAACGACACUCUGUAUCUAGCUACUCUGGUGGGGCCUUGGAGAACCUUUGUGUAGACACUCUGUAUCUAACUAAUCUGGUGGGGACGUGGAGAACCUUUGUGUCUAGCGCAGGGAUUGUAAAUGCACCAAUCAGUGCCCUGACAAAACAGACCACUCGGCUCUACCAAUCAGCAGGACGUGGGUGGGGCCAGAUAAGAGAAUAAAAGCAGGCUGCCCGAACCAGCAUUGGCAACCCGCUGGGGUCCGCUUCCACACUGUGUAGGCUUUGUUCUUUCGCUCUUUGCAAUAACUCUUGCUACUGUGCACUCUUUGGGUCUAUACUGCUUUUAUGAGCUGUAACACUCACCGCGAAGGUCUGCAGCUUCACUCCUGAAGCCAGUGAGACCACGAGCCCACCGGGAGGAACUAACAACUCCAGACGCGCUGCCUUAAGAGCUGUAACACUCACUGCGAAGGUCUGCAGCUUCACUCCUGAGCCAGUGAGACCACGAACCCACCAGAAGAAAGAAACUCCGAACACAUCUGAACGUCAGAAGGAACAAACUCCAGACGUGCCACCUUAAGAACUGUAACACUCACCGAGAGGAUCUGCGGCUUCAUUUUUGAAGGCAGUGAGACCAAGAACCCACCAAUUCCGGACCCAGCAUGAACCACAGAGCCUGGCCAAUAGAUGCGUCUUGAGCCCCUAGUCUCCAUUAAGUAUUUUAAAAGGCCAGAGUGCAGUGGUGUCAUCAUGGUUCACUGUAGCCUCCAUCUCUUGGGCUCAGGCAAUCCUCCCUCCUCAGUCUCCUGAGUAGUUGGGACCACAGGAAAUGAUCAGAGGCUCACCUGAACUAUUAUCCAUCCAAAAGUGGGAUUCAAAGAAGGAAGAGGGCCUAGAAAUGAGAAAGAAGCGAAAAAUAUGUUUGUUGAAAGGUCAACAUGGGUGUUUGGAAGAGCACAAAUACUGGAUCCUGGGAUGAAUUUGGACUAAGCACCUGCAGAUUUCCUUUUCAAUUGAAAUGAGAAUUUCUGUCUGUGUUCUUCAUGCUUGUUAUACUGGAAAAAGUUUGCUUACAAUUUCGCUCUUGUCGCACAGCUGGAGUGCAAUGGCAGGCUGGAGUGCAAUGGCACCGUCUCAGCUCACUGCAACCUCCACCUCCCAGAUUCAAGCAAUUCUCCUGCCUCAGCCUCCCAAAUAGCUGGGAUUAUAGGCAUCCACCACCAUGCCUGGGUAAUUUUUGUAUUUUAGUAGAGACGGGGUUUCACCAUGUUGACCAGGCUGGUUUUCUCUCAUUUAAUUAUAUUGCUUUGUAGCAGGAUGGGCUGCAGGCAAAACUCCUCAGACACCGGCUGAAAGAGGGAAGAGGCUUUAUUUAGCUGGGAACCUUGGCAGACUUGCAUCUCAAGAACCAAGCUCCCUGAAGAAAAAAUUCCUGGCCUUUUUGAGAGGUGAAGCGAGCUGGACUUCCUGGGUUGAGUGGGGACUUGCAGAACUUUUCUGUCUAGCUAGAGGAUUGCAAACGCACCAGUCAGCACUCUGUGUCUAGCUAAAGGAUUGUAAACACACCAAUCAGCACUGUGUAAAAAUGCACCAGUCAGCGCUCUGUGUCUAGCUAAAGGACUGUAGACGCACCAAUCAGCACUCUGUAAAAAUGCACCAAUCAGCACUCUGUGUCUAGCUAAAGGAUUGUAAACGCACCAAUCAGCACUCUAUAAAAGCGCACCAAUCAGCGCACUGUGUCUAGCUAAAGGAUUGUAAACGCACCAAUCAGCAUUCUGUGUCUAGCUAAAGGAUUGUAAACGCACCAAUCAGCACUCUGUAAAAAUGCACCAAUCAGCACUUGGCAUCUAGCUAAAGGAUUGUAAGUGCACCAAUCAACACUCCGCAAAAACACACCAAUCAUCACUCUGUGUCUAACUAAGGGAUUAAAUGCACCAAUCAGAACUCUGUAAAAAUGCACCAGUCAGCACUCUGUAAAAUGGACCAAUCAGCACUCUGUAAAAUGGACCAAUCAGCAGGACAUGGGUGGGGACAAAUAAGGGAAUAAAAGCUGGCCACCCCCCAGCCAGCAGCGGCAACCUGCUCAGGUCCCUUUCCACUCUGUGGAAGCUUUGUUCUUUCGCUUUUCACAGUAAAUCUUGCUGCUGCUGACUCUUUGGGUCCACACCACCUUUAAAAGUUGUAACACUCGCUGUGAAGGUCCGCAGCUUCAUUCUCGAAGUCAGUGAGACCAAGAAUCCACCAGAGGGAACCAAGUCUGGACACACUUUUAAGGGCUUACAACUCUAUGGGGGUCUACGUGAAAGAUAUCCAGCAAGUGAUCUAUAGGUAAUACACGUAGUUAGAGUGGGGGGUUAAUCUUUAACCUCAGGCCUGGUCAGUGGCACCGGUUGGUCUUGCCACUGACUUCAUUUCUGUUGUUUUUCAGCUUUUACUUCCUCCUUCUCUUCAGGGACAGGAAACAGUAAGAGAAAUGGCGUAUCUCCUCAGCUUAAGAUAGUACUUGCCAGGCAGGGUGGCUCACACCUGUAAUCCCAGCACUUUGGGAGGCUGAGGUGGGUGGAUCAUGAGGACAGGAGUUCAAGACCAUCCCGACCAACAUGGUGAAAACCCCAUCUCUACUAAAAAUACAAACAUUAGGUGGGCGUGGUGGCACGCGCAUGUAAUCCCAGCUACUCAGGAGGCUGAGGCAGGAGAAUUGCUUGAACCUGGGAGGCGAAGGUUGUAGUGAGCCGAGAUCGCGGCAUUGCACUCCAGCCUGGGCAACAGAACAAGACUCCAUCCCCCCACCAAAAAAAAAGUGCUUAUCUUGUCCAUAACUUAGCAGGAGUGUUUCAAUAUUACAUCCACGCUGUUUCCAUAUUAAACAGAUUCUUUGUGGUUGAGAUAAAUAUAUUUCAUUAUGCUAACAACGUAUUUGUAUACUCCUGUUAAGAACUUACAUCAAGUAUGAAUAUGGAAUUUUUCCAAUGUCUUUGAUAGCUUUUUUAGACAUGAGUAGUUAUGUGCUGCAUGACGAUGUUUUGGUAACAAUGGACCAUGUAUACCGUGGUGGUCCCAUAAGAUUAUAAUGGAGCUGAAAAACUCCUAUCACCUAGUGCUAUCAUAGCCAUCAUAACACAAUGCAUUACUCACGUGUUUGUGAAGAUGUUGGUGUAAAGAAACCUACAGAACUGCCGGUCAUCUAAAAGUAUAGCACAUACAAUCAUGCACAGCACAUAAUGAAAGGCUUGAUAAUAAAGGGAUAUGUUAUUGGCUUAUGUAUUUACUAUCCUAUAUUUUUCAUUGUUAUUUUUGAGUGUACUCCUGCUUUGCGGUGUCUCACGCCUGUAAUUCUAUCACUUGGGGAGGCCAAAGCCGGCGGAUCACUUGAGGUCAGAAGUUUGAGCCUGACCUGGCCAACAUGGUGAAACUCCGUCUCUAUUUAAAAUACAAAAAUUAGCCAGGUAUAGUGGCGAAUGCCUGUAGUCCCAGCUACUUGGGAGGCUGUGGCAGGAGAAUCGCUUGAACCCAGGAGGUGGAGGUUGCAGUGAGCUGAGAUCACACCAUUGCACUCCAGCCUGGGCAACAGAGCAAGACUGCAUCACAAAAAAAAGGAAAGAAAGCUGUAGAAUAGCCUCAGGCAGGACCUUUAGGAGUUAUUCCAGAAGAAGGCAUGUUAUUACAGGAGAUGACAAGCUGUAGGAGUGGAAGGCAGUGAUACCGAUCAUCCUGGCCCUGUGUAGGCCUAGGCUAAUGUGUGUGUUUGUCUUAGUUUUUAGCAAAAAAUGUUUUAAAAGUAAAAACAUAAAAAAUAAAAAUUUUAAAAAACAUGAAAAAGCUUAUAAAUAUGUUUGCACAGCUAUGCAAUGUUUUCAUGUUUUAAGCUUUUAUUACAAAAAAGUUUAAAAAAUUAAACUCGAUAAAGUAAGUUACAGUAGCCAAAGGUUAAUUUAUUAUUGAAGAAAGAAAAAUUAUUGUUUAUACAUUUAGCAUAGCCUGCGUGUACAGUGUUUAUAAAGUCUAUACCCAUGCCCAGUAAUGUCCUGGGCCCUCACACUCACUCCCCACUCACUCGCUCACUCACCCAGAGCCACUUCCAGUCCUGCAAGCUCCAUCCAUGGUGAGUGCUCUGUGAAGGCGUUCGUUCUUUAUCUUUUGUACCAUAUUUUUACUGUACCUUUUCUAUGUUUAGCUAUAUUUAGAUAUACAAAUACUUAGCAUUGUAUUACAGUUGCUUACAGUAUUGAGCACAGUCACAUGUUGCACAGGUUUGUAGUCUAGGAGCAGUAGGCCAUACCUAUAGGCCAGACCAUAGAUCCUAGGUGUGUAGAAGGCUCUACCAUCUAGGUUUGCGUAGGUACAUGCUAUGAUGUUUGCACAAUGACAAAAUUGCCUGACACAUUUCUCAGAGCAUAUCUCCAUCAUUAAGUGAUACAUAUCUGUAUAGAAUUUUUCUUCUUAUACCUAUUAAUAAUAACAAUAUAUUUCUGUAGAAAUAUACUUGGUUCAUUAACUAAACACUGGAAAUGUUACCUCUUUUUAUAUGCUCUGAAAAAAUUAAAAUAAGAUAUGGGAGUUGUCUUUUCUUUAAAGGUUUUACAGAAUUCCUCUGGAACUGCUGGAAUUUGAGGGGUCUUUUUUUUGACAAUUUCCUAUUUAUUUUAUGGUAAUUGAUCUGUUUAAAUUUUUUUCUCUUCUAAA
rnacentral:lncRNA from 1 species